rnacentral:rRNA from 1 species
AUCCUGGCUCAGGAUGAACGCUAGCGGCAGGCUUAACACAUGCAAGUCGAGGGGUAACAGGGCGUAGCAAUACGCUGCUGACGACCGGCGCACGGGUGCGUAACGCGUAUGCAACCUACCUGUAACAGGGGGAUAAUGGAGAGAAAUUUCCACUAAUACCCCAUAUUGUCUGGGAGCUGCAUGGUUUUCAGACGAAAGCUUUGGUGGUUACGGAUGGGCAUGCGUGACAUUAGGUAGUUGGCGGGCAACGGCCCACCAAGCCGACGAUGUCUAGGGGAGCUGAGAGGCUGGACCCCCACACUGGUACUGAGACACGGACCAGACUCCUACGGGAGGCAGCAGUGAGGAAUAUUGGUCAAUGGGAGGAAUCCUGAACCAGCCAUGCCGCGUGAGGGAGGAAAGGCCCUAUGGGUUGUAAACCUCUUUUGCCUCGGGGCAAUAAGGUUCAUGCGUGGACCGAUGAGAGUACGAGGCGAAUAAGCAUCGGCUAACUCCGUGCCAGCAGCUGC